CUGGGCAGCCACUCCACUUCCUCCUCACUGCACUGCACUUCCCUCAAGCAGUACACGCUGUCUGAGAAGAACACUGGACUGGUGGGCAGGGGAGUGGUGAUUGGAUACUACAAGUGAUGUCGGAGGUCAUAACAGAGAAAGCCAAUAGACAGUUACAGUUGCAUCUGUUGGGCUGGAAUAUUCACAGAAGAUUUGUUAUUAGACUGGCGGCUGCAAGUAACACAACAGAAACAUCACUUCUAAACCACCUGCACACAAAACGGUUAGGCCAUUUCAUCGGUGGAAGAGCCACACGGUCAUUACUUAUAAUGGGACAAAUUAGACAACUGGGUCAGACCAGGGGGUAAUGUGACAAAUCAGACAACUGGGCCAGACCAGGGGGUAAUGUGACAAAUCAGACAACUGGGCCAGACCAGGGGGUAAUGUGAAAAAUCAGACAACUGGGCCAGACCAGGGGGUAAUGUGACAAAUUAGACAACUGGGUCAGACCAGGGGGUAAUGUGACAAAUCAGCAAGUGGGCCAGACCAGGGGGUAAUGUGACAAAUUAGACAACUGGGCCAGACCAGGGGGUAAUGUGACAAAUUAGACAUCUGGGUCAGACCAGGGGGUAAUGUGACAAAUCAGACAACUGGGCCAGACCAGGGGGUAAUGUGACAAAUCAGACAACUGGGCCAGACCAGGGGGUAAUGUGACAAAU